rnacentral:lncRNA from 1 species
AGACGCUCCAGGCGCCAGCCGCUGGGUGCUUCGCGGUUGAGGAGGCGCAGGGACCGGGGGCCAGUAGUGGCCGUAAACACGGGCCCCGGCCGUGUCCGGUCGCACUCGGUAGCCCGCAUGGCUGCCUAGCGGUCAGCACCGCAUGUCUGCGAGCCUAAUUCGCGCUUAGAGGGCACACAAUGGGGUGCAGGCUAACGCGGGGAGCCGGCCAGGCCUCGCCGCGGCGUCCAUCUUGGAUACUGGCAGUGGGUCACGUGGUGCUGCGUGCGCACGGAGGCGCAGGGCGGCCCGGUCACUGAGUGCGCAGGCGCCGUGGGCCUCGCCCUGCCCCGCGGCGGGAACGCGGCCGUGAGGGUGUGGGGUGUAGGUCCGCCAGGCCUGCAACGGCUGCCGAGGGUCGUGGGAUGCGCUCGCCGCGUCCCUGCUCAGGCGGAGGGAGCCCGGCCCGCCGCCAGGGUCUCGAGUCCGGGUCCAGGCAGGCGUGGAGGAGUAUGACAACUUUUCAACUUGAGUGCACACACUGUCCCCGGAAUCCCGCGUUCCAGGGAGGAAGCGCCUUUGACAGCGCGCGCCGGUUCGUGGGGCCCGACGGCGUGGGCCUGUGGUUGCGGACCUGGCGGAGAUGCGCGUUCGCUUCGAUUGUAGGCCAUUCCUUUUAGGAGCUGAGAAAGGAUCCGUUUUUACAGCAUUCUCGACCUGUGAUUCUUGGUGGGGGAAACUAGUUAUGUGGAUAAAAAUACAGUUAGCAAAAUAAAAAUGCCAAUUUUACAUUUCCUUAAAUAUCUCAUUAAUAAUUAGAAAACUUUGGUCAUUGCAAGAAAUGCUUAGGCUAAACUUAGAAGGAAAGGAAUGGUGAAUUAGAGAACUUUAAAACAAGAUACAGCUGAAGAAAAGGAGAGCAAUUACGGGGUUUUGGAGACUUGGCUGCUGAUGGAAACGGUGCACUAUCUAAUUUUCAUGUAGAAUGAAACAGGGUCUGUAGCUAGCUAACAUCUAGAUAAGAUUCAGUAUCAUUUGACAGGAUUCUCAAAAACAUACAAUCACGAGAAAAUAUUAAAACCUGCCUGUAAGUCUACCAAAGUUAGUUUUUCACGUACAAAGAGAAGUGCCUGCGCAAAAAGUCACGUGAAACGAGCUCUGGGAUCUAAUGCUUGCAGAGGUAAUUUUUAAAAAGUAGAUUUCCAUUAGAAGGAAUGGGUAGCCCCAUUGCUGCGUGCCAUUUAGUCCUCACAGGAGUCCUGAGAGGCACUCCAGCAGAGUGAGGCACCACGCAGACGUUGGGUGGAUGGUGCAAGAACCUCACUCGCCAUGUCUGGAAAAGAGAAACUUGGCCUGGGUGGCUGUGUCUGCCAUUAUGUGUCAGAGGGGCUGUCUGAAGGAGACCGGUGCACAGCCAGUGCAGAGCAAUUCAGUACGAUAGUGUGCAGUGAAAGCAAACACGCUAUCCUGUGAGCUGUGUAUAAGGAGAAAGGUGGGGUGACAACCCCAAUGCCUGGGAGCAUUCGCGCUUGGGACUUCACAUACAGGUAUUUGACAGAGUCAAAUGAAUCACACUCAAAGGAAUCUCCGUGUUCUCACAGUUGAAAGAAACCAGCAUCAAAGACUCAAAUUUUAAAAUCUAGGGUUGGUGGAUCCAAUAAAUUGGUAGAACUCCUAGACUGGCUACGAUCGGCAAGCUGGCCAAUUAUAAAAUAUACAAAUAACAGUAACUUUCAGAUAACUGACAACAUUCAAUCGGUAAUUAAAUAAUUGUUGCAUAUUCAGUAUGUGGUGAGCUUUGUGCUAAGCACUUACAUAUGUGUUAGAAAAUAUGAAACAUUCUCAAUUAGCAAAAACAUUUUAAGUACCUAAAUGUAACAGUAAGUUCCAACAGAACUUCCUGGGAAUUGUGAAAAUCGUUAAAUAGUUCAUCUGGAAGAAUAAAGAUUUGAGAGCAGUCAAAAAGAAGAGUAAUGAAGGAGAAACUGUGCUUCCAGAAAAUAAAAACAUGUUAUCUGGGCUCCGAAAUGAAAACAACGUGAUAUUGGCCCAGAUCAAUGCAAAAUAAUAGAAAGUAAAGGAAUGGCCCCAAGCAAAUGUACUGACUCCAGGCUGAUACCCAGCCGAUAUGUGUAUGAUCAGUGUGCUCCAGCUGUUCUUAAUGGGCAGCUUUGCAGGCUGGUCAGUGCCUGUGCCUCACCAACUAUUGACUAGUUUUAAUACCACCCCUGUAGGGAUUUAAAGUAUAAUGAAAGUGGCUUUUCAAAUCAGUGAGAAAGCAAUAUGGUAGGGUACCUGCUAAUCAUUUGAAGAGAAGAUAUUAAAGUUGAAAUCUUUACUCAUCAAAUGGAGUAAAGACUUCAGUUUUAAAAAAAGUACUAAGGAAAAACUCUGGACAUCUCUAUAGGGUUGUGGAAUAUAAAGAAUAUUGUCAACAGUCAUAAAGGGAAAUAAUUGAGAAUUUAGCUAUGUUGUAAUUAAAAUUUAGUGUAUAAUCAGUGGGAAAAUGGAUAAACCCCAACUGCAAAAUACAA